UACGAAGGGGGCUAGCGUUGCUCGGAAUCACUGGGCGUAAAGCGCACGUAGGCGGAUCUUUAAGUCAGGGGUGAAAUCCUGGAGCUCAACUCCAGAACUGCCUUUGAUACUGGGGAUCUCCAGUCCGGAAGAGGUGAGUGGAACUCCGAGUGUAGAGGUGAAAUUCGUAGAUAUUCGGAAGAACACCAGUGGCGAAGGCGGCUCACUGGUCCGGUACUGACGCUGAGGUGCGAAAGCGUGGGGAGCAAACAGG
rnacentral:rRNA from 1 species